GUUUAUUUGAUAGUACCUUACUACUUGGAUACCUGUGGUAAUUCUAGAGCUAAUACAUGCUAAAAACCCCAACUUCGGGAGGGGUGUAUUUAUUAGAUAAAAAACCAAUGCCCCUCGGGGCUCCUUGGUGAUUCAUAAUAACUUCUCAGAUCGCAUGGCCUUGCGCCGGCGACGGUUCAUUCAAAUUUCUGCCCUAUCAACUUUCGAUGGUAAGGUAGUGGCUUACCAUGGUUUCAACGGGUAACGGGGAAUUAGGGUUCGAUUCCGGAGAGGGAGCCGGAGGAACGGCUACCACAUCCAAGGAAGGCAGCAGGCGCGCAAAUUACCCAAUUCCGAUACGGAGAGGUAGUGACAAUAAAUACUGAUACAGGGCUCUUUUGGGUCUUGUAAUUGGAAUGAGUACAAUUUAAACCUCUUAACGAGGAACAAUUGGAGGGCAAGUCUGGUGCCAGCAGCCGCGGUAAUUCCAGCUCCAAUAGCGUAUAUUAAAGUUGUUGCAGUUAAAAAGCUCGUAGUUGAACCUUUGGCCUGGCUGGCAGGUCCGCCUCACCGCGUGCACUUGUCCGGCCGGGCCUUUUCUUCUGGGCAACCGCAUGCCCUUCACUGGGUGUGUUGGGGACCAGGACUUUUACUUUGAAAAAAUUAGAGUGUUCAAAGCAGGCCUUUGCUCGAAUACGUUAGCAUGGAAUAAUAGAAUAGGACGUGCGGUCCUAUUUUGUUGGUUUCUAGGACCGCCGUAAUGAUUAAUAGGGACAGUCGGGGGCAUCAGUAUUCAAUUGUCAGAGGUGAAAUUCUUGGAUUUAUUGAAGACUAACUACUGCGAAAGCAUUUGCCAAGGAUGUUUUCAUUAAUCAGUGAACGAAAGUUAGGGGAUCGAAGACGAUCAGAUACCGUCGUAGUCUUAACCAUAAACUAUGCCGACUAGGGAUCGGGCGGUGUUUCUAUUGUGACCCGCUCGGCACCUUACGAGAAAUCAAAGUGUUUGGGUCUGGGGGAGUAGCGCAGGCC
rnacentral:rRNA from 1 species